CCUCUACUUUGACCAGAGAAACUAUAGCAGUCUUAGACAUGACAAACCUGCCUCUGCCUACUAUUUCCGGUCCUCUUCCCUGUGCAGUGAGCCGAUGGGGACAUCCAAGAGUCAGAGCAGGGCAUCAUUGUAUGAUGGUGGAAUGUAUAACCCUUACGGUUCUCGAACU